rnacentral:rRNA from 1 species
AUUGAACGCUGGCGGCAGGCUUAUCACAUGCAAGUCGAACGAGUGGCGGACGGGUUAGUAAUGCUUGGGAAUCUAGCUUAUGGAGGGGGAUAACUACGGGAAACUGUAGCUAAUACCGCGUACCAUAGGAUGAGCUCAAGUGGGAUUAGGUAGUUGGUGAGGUAAAGGCUCACCAAGCCGACGAUGUCUAGCUGGUCUGAGAGGAUGACCAGCCACACUGGGACGGAGACACGGCCCAGACUCAGACGGAAGGCAGCAGUGGGGAAUAUUGCGGAGUGGGGAGAAACUGAAGCAGAAAUGCCGCGAGAAUGAAGAAGGCCAUCGGGUUGUAAAGUUCUUUCGGUAGCGAGGCAUUAACUACAGAAGAAGCACCGGCUAACUCCGUGCCAGCAGCCGCGGUAAUAC